GUCAUAGACGCGAAACCUAGUGAUCUAGGCCUGUCCAGGCUGAAGCUGAGGUAAGACUCAGUGGAGGGCCGAACUCACCGCCGUUGAAAAGUUGGGAGAUGAGGCAGGUUUAGGGGUGAAAAGCCAAUCGAACUAGGAGAUAGCUCGUUCUCUCCGAAAUGCAUUUAGGUGCAGCCUUAGUUGAAGAUAUGCGGGGGUAGAGCACUGUAUGGCCUAGGGGGCGUAUAGCUUACCGAAGUCAAGCAAACUUCGAAUACCGUAUAUUGUUAACUGGGAGUGAGUCUAUGGAUGACAAGGUCCGUGGACGAGAGGGGAACAGCCCAGACCGCCGGCUAAGGUCCCAAAUCAUGUCUAAGUGGGAAAGGAGGUGGAUAUUCACAGACAACCAGGAGGUUGGCUUAGAAGCAGCCAUACCUUAAAAGAGUGCGUAAUAGCUCACUGGUCGAGAGUAUCUGCGCCGAAGAUAUAACGGGGCUAAGACAUGAACCGAAGCCGCGGAAUUAGUUUAUACUAAUUGGUAGGAGAGCGUUCUGUAGGCCGUAGAAGGGGUGUUGUAAGACAUUCUGGAGGUAUCAGAAGUGAGAAUGCAGGAAUGAGUAGCGAGAAGGAGGGCGAGAAUCCCUCCGGCCGGAAGUCCAAGGUUUCCAGGGGAAGGUUUGUCCGCCCUGGGGGAGUCGGGACCUAAGCAUAAGCAGAGCUGCGAAGGCGAAUGGAAAACAGGUUAAUAUUCCUGUACCGCUGUGUACUGUCUGAGAGAUGGAGUGACGCAGGAAGGUAUGCGGGAAGGCUGACGGAAUAGCCUUUCUAAGGGUGAAGCGUGGACAUGCAGGCAAAUCCGCAUGUUUAUACGUGAGGCCUGAUGGGGAAGUGCCAUAUGGCAUAAGCCGCAGAUCCUACACUGCCGGGAAAAACUUCUAUUGAGGGAAACAGCGCCCGUACUGUAAACCGACACAGGUGGACAGAGUGAGAAACUUAAGGCCGACAGGAUAACUCUAGCUAAGGAACUCUGCAAAAUAGCCCCGUAACUUCGGGAGAAGGGGUGCCUGAUAUACUUGAGAGGAGAAACACCUCAAGGGGAAACAGGCCGCAGUGAAGAGUCCCAAGCAACUGUUUACCAAAAACACAGGUCUAUGCUAAGCUGAAAGGCGACGUAUAUGGGCUGACACCUGCCCAGUGCCGGAAGGUUAAGAGGAGGAUUGAGAGAUUCGAAUUGAAGCCCCGGUGAACGGCGGCCGUAACUAUAACGGUCCUAAGGUAGCGAAAUUCCUUGUCGGGUAAGUUCCGACCUGCACGAAUGGUGAAAUGAUUUGGGAGCUGUCUUGGC
rnacentral:rRNA from 1 species